AUUAAUUCUGCCUAUCCAUAGUGUUUCUAGAUUUUUCCAUUUUUUUUAGAUUUUGAUUAAUUUCCUUCAUUAACUGCAUAACAUUCCUCUCCAUUAUUUGGGAAACAUUGGCCGGAAAGCUAAGUCCCAAAUAAUUAAUUUCUGAGUCUGUCCAAAUAAACUGAUAUUUUUGAGAUAGCCUUUCAACCAAAGUCAAGGGUAAAUUAAUAGUUAAAGCAGUAGAUUUAGAGACAUUUAACUUGAAAUUAGAGAUAUUAGAAAAAUUGACAAUUUCUUCCAUUAAUGGCGCCAAUGAAUCUUCUGGAGAUGUAAGGGUUACCAGGGCGUCAUCGGCAUACAAUGCAAUCUUAAUGUCUUGGAAUUUCGUGGGAACACCCUUUAUUAACUGAUUGUUCCUAAUAUUUACCGCAAGAGGCUCAAGAGAUAGAAUGUAAAGAAGCGGUGACAGAGGACAACCCUGUCUAGUACCGUUUUUAAGAUCGAACCAUGUCGAAGUAAUAUUAGGACCUACAGUUCUGGCUGAAGGGUCAGAGUAUAAUAUCAUAAUUGCGGUGUAAAUCCAACCCGUAAAGCCGUAUGCAUUGAGAAGUUCACUUAAAUAGCCCCACCCAACCCUGUCGAACGCUUUCUCUGCGUCCAAAGACAGGGCCAGGAGGGGCUCCUUAUUGGCAUUGACAAGAC